GACGAACGCUGGCGGCGUGCCUAAUACAUGCAAGUCGAACGCAGUGGGUACGGGUGAGUAACACGUGGGUAACCUCCCAUCAGAGGGGAUAACACUUGGAAACAGGUGCUAAACUGAUACUUAUGGAUGGACCCGCGUUGCAUUAGCUAGUUGUUGAGGUAACUGCUCACCAAGGCCGCGAUGAAUAGCCGACACACGAGGGUGAUCAGCAACAUUGGGACGGGACCACGGACCGUACUCCUAAGGGAGGCAGCAGUAGGGAAGCGUCGGCAAUGGAGGAAAGUCUGACCGAGCAACGCCGCGUGAGUGAAGAAGGUUUUCGGAUCGUAAAACUCGGUUGUUAAAAAAGCGGUAUCUAACCAGAAAGCCACGGCUAACUACGUGCCAGCAGCCGCGGGAAUAC
rnacentral:rRNA from 1 species